GUAGGUGGCAAGCGUUGUCCGGAAUUAUUGGGCGUAAAGCGCGCGCAGGCGGUUCUUUAAGUCUGAUGUGAAAGCCCACGGCUCAACCGUGGAGGGUCAUUGGAAACUGGAGAACUUGAGUACAGAAGAGGAAAGCGGAAUUCCACGUGUAGCGGUGAAAUGCGUAGAGAUGUGGAGGAACACCAGUGGCGAAGGCGGCUUUCUGGUCUGUAACUGACGCUGAGGCGCGAAAGCGUGGGGAGCAAACAGGGUUAGAUACCCUGGUAGUCCACGCCGUGAACGAUGAGUGCUAAGUGUUAGGGGGUUUUCCGCCCCCCUUAGUGCUGCAGCUAACGCAUUAAGCACUCCGCCUGGGAGUACGGCCGCAAGGCUG
rnacentral:rRNA from 1 species